CCCAGUGGAGGGAGAUGGAUUAGAUCCGUGGUCCUAACCUGGGGUACGCAUAACCCUGGGGGUACACAGAGGUCUUCCAGGUAGUACAUCUAGUCAUCUAGAUAUUUGCCUAGUUUUACAACAGGCUCCAUAAAAAGCACUAGUGAAGUCAGUACAAACUAAAAUUUCAUAUGGACAAUGACUUGUUUAUACUGCUCUAUAGACCAUACACUGAAAUGUAUGGAAUGAUAAGCUGAGGCUGCAGAACUUUUGAAUGCAGAAGGCCACCUUCCAGAAACUUUGUGCAGAGCUUUCCCCUGCCCUGCUGUUCAGCAACACAAAAUGAGAGCUGCUCUGACAGUGGAGAAGUGAGUGGCAAUCGCUAUUUGGAGGCUUGCAACGCCAGACAGUUACCAGUCAGUGGGGAAUCAAUUCGGACCCUGAAUAAUCACAUCAUCCUGCCGUCUUUCAACCUGCAAGUUCCUUGUACAAGUUCAGAACAGAGUUGACAGAGUUCAGAACCUGAAUGAACUCCUGAAACUGAGGGCUGGAAUAAUGUUGUCUUAUAAAUAUAUAAUGCCUUGACGUGGAGGAAGAGGCGAGAAAUAGAAACAUGAAAAGGAGCUUAUAUGGAACUGUGCUGUCUUCAGAUGGAUAUAACGUGUAAGCAAAAAUGAGAAAACUAUACAUUUUUAAUAGAAAACGUUGGCUACAAAAAGGCAACCCAGUCCUACAUACAGCAAAUUUUGACGUGUCCCAGGCUUAUAAGUUACACUACAAAACAAAAAAACCCUCCAGCCAAACAAGAAUUUAAGUGGGCCUUUCAUCUUUGAGGGGAAUCACUUUGUUACCUUUUGGUCUUUAAUGACCAUGGGAAUCCUUGGGCAGCUACUGCUACUGGGUUUAUUUUUCCUCCGGGGUGGACAGCAGACUUGCUAAUUUUUUCCACCAAAUCCCCACCGUCUGUGUGUGUGUUGUCUACAGUUGUCUACAAGAUAGAAAACUUCGGGCCUAUUCAAACAUAUAUAGUUCUCUGCACUGGAGCUGCUCCUUUAGCUCACCAUUUAGAGGCCUAUAUUUUUGGAGCUGAAAUCAUGAUGGGUGGCAUGGGUGUGGAUGAGAGUUGGCUCAUUACCAUGGUGUAUAUAGCAUGCAUUGUUGUAGAAUUGCAAGAUCAGUACAAUUUGUCUUAGACUUAAUUUGUCUAGAACAGUUUAAAUUUGACUUGUAAGUGAACCAGCACUCCAUGGCGGGGAAGAACUGUGGCAAGAAAUGCAGUAUGAUGCACGCAUGCUCGGUCCCAGUACAUAGCUGUUAGCAAUCUGGAACAAACCACUUAGACACAAGGAGGCUGGGAAUCUAUUAAAAAGAACAGUUAGGCCCCCUUGGAGUAUGGCAGGAAGGCAAUGUGAGAGGCACAAACACACUCCUCCUUUCUAUGUCCCUUUUCUUGGCUGGGAGAAGAGGAGGAGAUGUCUUUUUUUGGGCCUGUGUCUAGGAAUCCUAUAAAACCCAACUCAUGUAUAGUUUAUUCAGUGAUUUAGAGGGUUAGAAAAUGCAAAAAGCAAUUUUAAGAGGUGGUGGUUUCUUACUACUCUAGAAACUUGGAUUGAAUUAUUUGGAUGCAAAGCAAAAACUGGGGAAAAGCCAGAAAUUCACUGCUUUGACUUUGGGAUGUGAGAAUUUUCCCACAGCUAUAGGAUGUAGUAAUCUCCUUGCUGGAGCAUUUGAACUGAGCGUACACUCAAUGCUAGAUUCCUCAGGCUCUAAUGUGGGUUUAUGUUAAUAACUGCAUGUAAUAACCGGGAUGUAAGAGGGGGAGGGGUGGAUCAGCCACACUCAUUAAAUGUUCUGCUUCUAAGUGCUACUGCAGAAUGCACUAAACAUUUUAAUCUUUAGAGGCAAUAGGAGGCCAGAUGCUUGGACUGGAUGACAGGAUGGCUCACUUGAUAAUUGCCCUGUUCUAUUUAUUCCCUUUGAAGAAUCUAGCAUUGGCCACUGUUGGAAGACCGGACACUCAGCUAGAUGGACCAUUGGUCUGACCCAGUAUGGCUGUACUUAUGUUCUUAUGCUAUGUUCCUAUCUUAACCGUUCUGAGCAAUAAUAAAAAACUGAAAUAUGUAUGUGUAUACACACACACACAUACUAAAAAAGAGACAAAAGAAAGAGUGUGAAAAUUCUUGGUCUGUUAUACAGUUUUUGAGAAGAAAACUGGUAUAUUUCUGAACCACCCCAUUCCAGUUCACUACACCUCAUAAAAAUUUCUCCCACUUUGUAAGCCCUUUCAGGCAGGGCCUACAUUUUUCCAUACACAUGGACAGUGCCUAUUAGUGUGGGUGAUAGUGACAUAUAAAUGAUAAUAGAAACUCAAUUUUUCCACAAUAUCUACCAGCUAACCAUUGUCUCUGGGCUUCCUAAGAGCAUUAUGUCUUUUCUGUAUAGAGGAUUUGAGGCAGGGAGGGUCUUUGUUCUUGUGUCUUGUAAAAUGCCAAGCAAAUUGUUUGCUCUUAACAAACAGAGAUGGGGGAUUAUUUUGACAAAUUAUUUUUUCGUUGAAAAAUGCUGAUUGAUUGAAACUGAAACAGUUUGUGAAACACGGUGGGGCUUGAUGAAUUUCCCAACUCAAAAAAAUGUUGAGAAAAGAAUUUCAAAAUUGUUCAAAACAACUUUUUGUUUUGCUAUGUAAGCUAAUUAGAUGG